rnacentral:rRNA from 1 species
AGCGAACGUUUGCGCGGGCUUAACACAUGCAAGUCGAACGGGCUGUUCCUUCGGGGGCAGUCAGUGGCGCACGGGUGAGUAACACGUAGAUGACCUUCCCUGGAGUGGUGGAUAACCUGCCGAAAGGCGGGCUAAUACAGCAUGGGACCACAUGGUUUUGACCGAGUGGUGAAAGCGGGCCUCUGUUCACAAGCUCGCGCUCUGGGAUGGGUCUGCGUCCCAUCAGCUAGUUGGUGAGGUAAUGGCUCACCAAGGCAUCGACGGGUAGCUGGUCUGAGAGGAUGACCAGCCACACUGGAACUGAGACACGGUCCAGACUCCUACGGGAGGCAGCAGUGGGGAAUCUUGCGCAAUGGGCGAAAGCCUGACGCAGCGACGCCGCGUGGGUGAUGAAGGCCUUCGGGUUGUAAAGCCCUGUGGGAGGAACGAACCGUACGGGGGCGAACACCCUCCGUACCUGACGGUACCUCCUUAGCAAGCAUCGGCUAACUC